ACUGUGUAGCACACUAGCACUGUUACAGUGUAGAGACUGUCAAACAAAAAGCUUGAAAUGACAGGUCGCCAGGGAUCUCGUGUUGUGAAAUCUUAAACCGCUGACAUAAGUGUUAACAAAUUUGCCGUUGAACAAAUUCCCUGCUGGUCAACGUUGUCAUGCCCAGAUGCCGAUUUAAAAAGGCUCGCAUCUUCGGAAUAUCGAAUAGGAAGAGCUAACCUUUUUUUCCUCUCACUUCCGUCGUAUUCUUCGCCCUCCCUGUUUGGAAUUCGAGGAAAGAAAAUGAACCGGAGGAGAAACCCGAGCAAUUUCACCUACAUCAGCCCUUGCGUCAAGUAUAUGAUCUUCAUGCUUAAUUUCCUCUUCUGGCUGUUUGGAGGGUUGCUAAUUGGCAUUGGGACAUAUGCUUUUGUCGAUAAAUGGCGAGGUACAGGGGGCCUGUAUAAAGUCAAUACAAUUUAUGAUAUAUUACUUGACAUAUCUCUAGUCCUUAUUAUAUUCGGGGGAGUUGUUUUUGUCGUAAGCUUCGCCGGAUGCGUCGGAGCCCUAAGAGAAAACACGUGUCUCCUUAAAUUUUAUUCAUUAUGUCUGUUGAUAUUCUUCCUCCUGGAAAUGGCGAUCGCUAUAAUCGGCUUCGUGUUCCCUCACACCAUGCAGACUAUAAUUCAAGAUUCUUUUACAGUUCAAAUAAUACACAAAUACAGGGAUAAUGACGAUUUAAGAAACUUCAUAGACUUUGCGCAAAAGGAGUUCCAUUGCUGCGGCCUGAGUUCAGGAGGGUACAUGGAUUGGUCGAGCAAUGAGUAUUUUAAUUGUUCUUCCCCCAGUCGAGAACAGUGUGGAGUCCCUUAUUCUUGCUGCAUCAACGCAACAAACAUUGCUGGUGGUUUAAUUAACAUAAUGUGCGGAUAUGGAGCCCAAAAUCUUUCAGCUGCUGAAGCGAGUAAAAAAGUGUGGACAAGUGGCUGUAUCGAAGUCGUAAAAGCAUAUGCGGAGAGGAAUCUGUACACAAUCGCAGGUUUUGCAUUGGGCGUAGCACUCAGUCAGCUGUUUGUGAUAUAUCUCGGGAAGACCCUCGAAGGACAGAUAGAGCUACAAAAGUCGCGAUGGACGUCGUGAAACAUAGUUGCCUACCGCUAAAUCUUGACUGAUUUUUCUUUUUUGUUUCCAUACCUUUCUUCAGAAGUCUACAAAAAUGGUAGGCUAAUGAAUUCUCUUUGUCAUUCCCUUGUUUCCAGUGAACAGACGAUUUUUUUUCCUCCGUCUUGUCUUUUCAGGCAACUAUUUGUUAUUGAAUAUUUAUUAUUAAUAAGAAGUUUGAAGAAUAAGACUUAGCUUCAAAAAAAGAAAAACCCGUGUUUUUCUCAUAUUGCAAAAAUCUAGUUUUAAAGUAAUUUUUAACAAAACGACUGCUAAAUUUUUGAUACCAGAAAAUAUAGUGUAAUAAUUAAAUAUAAUGUUUAGUGUAAAUGCCAAUACAAAAACGACAAACGUAACAGCUUUUAUUUUACUACUUAACAGGCGUGGGAGACCAAGUAG
rnacentral:misc_RNA from 1 species